UGCUUCAGACGACAAGCACGUGCGAUACGAGGAGUACAGCUAGCUGUGCAGCAUUAACCAGAAUGGAGGAUGGCCCAAGCUUUGCAUCUACCAAUGGCAGUGCUGAAUGCACAGAACUGCAAAUCACCAGAGAAAUGAAAAGCUACAAUUCAGAUGUGUCU